GGCAAUUUAGUAAUAUGUAGGCAAAAGGAGGUGCAUUAUUGAUACAAUUGGAUAACUCAGUCUUGACUGGAGGAGGAAUGGUUGUAAUCUACUGAUUGCAGUUUUGUUUGCAAACUGGAACGAUGAUCAUCAUACAAAAUCUUCCGAUUAAUAUCGCUCCCAAUUGCCACCAGAUGUCACCAUGGCCUUGCCGGUGGCGGACAACUGCACAUUUCCUUAAGCCUCUGAAUUGCGCUCCUCUUCAGCAGCAGCUGCUACAAGAAAUCCACCAGGAUGACUCAGGAAUCAUGUGUGACCCUUGCGGAGGAAGAGGAUGGUUACUUUGUGAUUUCUGUCAAGGACAAAAAACCAAUGUCAAAGCUGACAAUAAGCGCAUCUACCGUCGAUGUCCGUCUUGCAGAGCUAUUACAAUGAUGGCGACAAUCCGUCCUCCUGAGCCUACUUACACUGUUAAUGUGAUCAUUUUUGCUCAGAGCUCAGCCUCAAGUGCUCAUUCAAGCUCUAAUGCAGAAUUUGGAAGUACACCAAUGGACGCGGUGCAUGCAUAAAUGCAGCAGCUGUAGAGGGGAAGGACUCCGACGAAGGAGCAUCGUUACAAACAUGAAGAGUUGAAUUGAAACGACACGAGCAUAUAUAUAAUAUGCAUGAUUACAAAAAAAAGAGACACCACCAAGUGAAGCCAAAAUUGGAAGAGUAAGCUAUCUGCACAUAGGGCUUUGAGAUGGGGUGUGGUGAGUGUUGGAUGAGCAGCGUACCAAAGAGCAGUCCUGCGCCAGAUACACGUCUUGUUUCGCCUCCACCAGUUUCAGGAUGGUCUCGAAGACGGGAACCUGACAGGGAAAUGUUAGAACUCCUGCUUGUUGAAAUCCAAAUUCCUCUUCUGCUUCUCUGAGUAAGGUGUGAAAGGCAGGGUGGCCCAAAUAGUGUGUUGGGAUUAUGAAUCUCUUGAGCUCCUCUCCGACGCAAACGGCUAGGUAUCCUUUCGGAACAGCGCCCGCGUUGCUUGAUGUCUCCCGAGCCGAGUUGUUGUCGGAUAAAGAGAGCGUCCUCUUGAGAAACUUGAUGCUUUUACUGCUGCUGUUUGCAGCAUUACUGUUGGGCUUUGAUGAAGUUGCCAGCUUUCUCCAUUUCUUGAGGAUCCUUUGGAGUCUCACAAUUUCUGUGAUCUUGUUGGAAUCCAUUCUGGCUCUUGGAGUGCUUUGAACUUUGAAAAUAGGAGUUGAGGGGCUCAUCAAUCCUGCAUUACUAGUAUUUUUAUAGUAAGAGUCUAAUAUUAUAAAAAUAGAAAAAGGAGUUGGGAGUGAGAUUCCGAGGAAUUAAGAAUGAAUUUCAGUAAUCUGGCAUGACCGACUCAUCUACUAAUAGAAUAGUUUGCAAUACAAAACUACCCCAACAGUCAAAGGCCUCGUACAAACUGUCCUAUGAAUGCGGCAUUGAAAACUUCGAAGCUCCCAUGUGAUAGUAAAUGUUAAAACCUCUGAUUUACUCUCAAUUUGCUAAUCACCUAUCUUUACUUAGCUAAUCAAUCAUUGACACCAUUACUAAAUUAA